rnacentral:rRNA from 1 species
CCUACGGGAGGCAGCAGUCGAGAAUCAUUCACAAUGGGGGAAACCCUGAUGGUGCGACGCCGCGUGGGGGAAUGAAGGUCUUCGGAUUGUAAACCCCUUUCAUGUGGGAGCAAAUUAAAAAGAUAGUACCACAAGAGGAAGAGACGGCUAACUCUGUGCCAGCAGCCGCGGUAAUACAGAGGUCUCAAGCGUUGUUCGGAAUCACUGGGCGUAAAGCGUGCGUAGGCUGUUUCGUAAGUCGUGUGUGAAAGGCGCGGGCUCAACCCGCGGACGGCACAUGAUACUGCGAGACUAGAGUAGUGGAGGGGGAACCGGAAUUCUCGGUGUAGCAGUGAAAUGCGUAGAUAUCGAGAGGAAGACUCGUGGCGAAGGCGGGUUCCUGGACAUUAACUGACGCUGAGGCACGAAGGCCAGGGGAGCGAAAGGGAUUAGAUACCCUAGUAGUC